AUGAAAAUAUUAGCUUGGAACUGUUGGGGGCUCGGGAACGCCCCGACGGUUCGAGCGUUGCUGGACGUCCAGCGACGAUGCAGCCCUGAUGUGAUGUUCUUGUCGGAGACUCAUCUCGAUAUCUAUCCGGCUGAGUGUUUGCGUAGGAGAUUGGGGAUGGACCAUAAACUGGUGUGUCCUAGUGAUGGUAGGAAGGGAGGUCUCGCUCUCUAC
rnacentral:rRNA from 1 species